AUUGAACGCUGGCGGCAGGCCUAACACAUGCAAGUCGAACGAGGGGCGGACGGGGGAGUAAUGUCUGGGAAACUGCCCGAGGGAGGGGGAUACCUACUGGAAACGGUACCAACAACCGAAUACCAUGGGAAGUCCCCAGAUGGGAUUAGCUAGUGGGUGGGUGAAGGGCUCACCGAGGCGACGAUCCCUAGCGGGGCUGAGAGGAUGACCAGCCACACUGGAACUGAGACACGGUCCAGACUCCUACGGGAGGCAGCGUUGGGGAAUAUUGCACAAUGGGCGCAAGCCUGAUGCAGCCAUGCCGCGUGUAUGAAGAAGGCCUUCGGGUUGUAAAGUACUUUCAGCGAGGAGGCGUUACUCGCAGAAGAAGCACCGGCUAACUCCGUGCCAGCAGCCGCGGUAAUUC
rnacentral:rRNA from 1 species